AAUGAAUAACUAAACAAUCUGAAUCUUUAGUAUGAUUUCUUGUCCUCAUAGUUAGUUAUAUGAAAACCUACUAUUGGAUUGGCUUCAGUAUGGAUUGACCCAAAUUAGAUCCAUAUCAGUCCAAAUGAACAAAGAAUAAGAAGACGAUGUUUUUUUUCUUUUCAUCGUCAGUCCUUGUUGCAGACAGAGGGAAAGCAUAUACGGAACGUAUUGGCUGAGAGAUCUUCCAUAAUUUGGCUUCAGUAUUUAAACCUUGAAAUUGAUUGCCAUGCAAUAUAAAGCAAGUAUCAGGAGAAAGGGUAUGGGGAUGUGGUGCCACAAAUGGUGUUUUGGACUUUGUCAAAGCACAACCCGGAGAAGCUGGUAGCACCUAGUACACAACCGGGGUGUUCAUUCUCAUGGCUUCUGCAACAAUCUGCUCAAACUCUUCGUCGACAAUGAAGGCGAAAUUGGCCCCGACCAUCUCACGGAAUUAGCCAUCUUCGAUGAAUCUUAUCAAGCUCUCGAUAUAGUGGACUCAGAUUUAUUGUAAUUGGAUUAUUAUUAAUUAUAUUUUCUUUUUAAUUAGUGCUGCUCUUAGCUUAAUUAUCUUGAGUUAGUUGGGCAGUACCAACCGCCAAGGUUGAAAGAUUUGUUAACAGUUAAUUAUUUUUGUACUGCUAAAACAUCUUAUAAUUGUUAUCA